rnacentral:rRNA from 1 species
GGAAUUUUCCGCAAUGGGCGAAAGCCUGACGCAGCAACGCCGCGUGGGGGAUGAAGGCCUUCGGGUUGUAAACCCCUUUCAGGAGGGAAGAAAUGGACGGUACCUCCAAAAGAAGGACCGGCCAACUACGUGCCAGCAGCCGCGGUAAUACGUAGGGUCCGAGCGUUAUCCGGAAUCAUGGGGCGUAAAGAGCUCGUAGGCGGUUCAGCAAGUCGGCUGUGAAAGUCCGGGGCUCAACCCCGGAAUUGCAGUCGAUACUGCUGUGACUCGAGUCCGGUAGAGGAGAACGGAAUUCCCGGUGUAGCGGUGAAAUGCGCAGGUAUCGGGAGGAACACCAGUAGCGAAGGCGGUUCUCUGGGCCGGCACUGACGCUGAGGAGCGAAAGCGUGGGGAGCAA